GUGGGGAAUAUUGGACAAUGGGCGAAAGCCUGAUCCAGCCAUGCCGCGUGAGUGAUGAAGGCCUUAGGGUUGUAAAGCUCUUUCAGUAGGGAAGAUAAUGACGGUACCUACAGAAGAAGCCCCGGCUAACUUCGUGCCAGCAGCCACGGUAAUACGAAGGGGGCUAGCGUUGUUCGGAUUUACUGGGCGUAAAGCGCACGUAGGCGGAUUGGUCAGUUAGAGGUGAAAUCCUGGAGCUCAACUCCAGAACUGCCUUUAAUACUGCCAGUCUAGAGUCCAGAAGAGGUGAGUGGAACUCCUAGUGUAGAGGUGGAAUUCGUAGAUAUUAGGAAGAACACCAGUGGCGAAGGCGGCUCACUGGUCUGGUACUGACGCUGAGGUGCGAAAGCGUGGGGAGCAAACAGGAUUAGAUACCCCUGUAGUCC
rnacentral:rRNA from 1 species